AGGAGUGUCUGCUAACCCCAGAAGCUGCCUCUGUGCUAGUUGGGUCAGUUUCAUGUAUUACACACGUGUAAAUAAAGAGUGAGUUGGUGAUGGGAUACCAUCCUCUGCAGAGUUAGUUCAAUUCCCCUGAUGGUAAUAUUAACAUUGUUCCUUCUCUCAUCCAGCUAUGACAACAUGACAAGCCAGCGUGUUUUUGUGCCUGCUGAAAUGAAGGAUUAGCAGAAAUUCUCAGCCUGCACUGACUUUCACCUCUGCAUCAGAAGCUUGUGCAUUAACAAUCUAUCCAGGGUGAUGUUUCUGUAUGUUGUUGAUUCAUUUUUCUCGUAUUGGUCCAGUUGAGUAUCUGUCUGCCUCAGAAGGUAAUGAACGCAGGUGAAGAUCUAACUCUUCAACGAAAGAAACUCAAUGAAAAGAACUUGUUUUUCUCAGUCCACCUCUGCCCAGCUAGAAGCAACCUCCAACCACUGGACAAGCCGUUGUGGCUGCUGAAUUCUGAUUUCAGCUAUUUUACCUCUUCACCUCAAACAGAGAGGAUCCUGAAGAUCUCAACAGG